UACGUAGGGGGCAAGCGUUGUCCGGAAUCAUUGGGCGUAAAGAGCGUGUAGGCGGCUCGGUAAGUCCGCUGUGAAAGUCCAGGGCUCAACCCUGGAAUGCCGGUGGAAACUGUCGAGCUAGAGUCCGGAAGAGGAGUGUGGAAUUCCCGGUGUAGCGGUGAAAUGCGCAGAUAUCGGGAAGAACACCCGUGGCGAAGGCGGCACUCUGGGACGGUACUGACGCUGAGACGCGAAAGCGUGGGGAGCGAACAGG
rnacentral:rRNA from 1 species